UACGUAGGUGGCGAGCGUUGUCCGGAUUUACUGGGCGUAAAGGGAGCGUAGGCGGACUUUUAAGUGAGAUGUGAAAUACCCGGGCUCAACUUGGGUGCUGCAUUUCAAACUGGAAGUCUAGAGUGCAGGAGAGGAGAAUGGAAUUCCUAGUGUAGCGGUGAAAUGCGUAGAGAUUAGGAGGAACACCAGUAGCGAAGGCGGCUCUCUGGACUGUAACUGACGCUGAGGCACGAAAGCGUGGGGAGCAAACAGGAUUAGAUACCCCCGUAGU
rnacentral:rRNA from 1 species